UUUUAACUCCUUGCCCAGUUCCACCAGAGCAUGCCAUCUGGGACCCAUCAGAUCAGGGCCACUUUGCCUGAUCCAUCAGAAUACCACGGCAGCCCAUUUCUUUACAGACAAAACACGACACCUUUCUGAACUCAUGUAGAGGUAAUUCGUGUCUCCAGGCCCAGAAAGGCACCUGCAUUUGUAACGGGUGAAGUGGAACUAGCUCAUGUCUAAAUGGACUUUUCUCAAUUUCUUUGCAGAAAACCACGAAGAGGAGGCUGAAGAACAACUGGGAUCGCUGACCCCCAGGAAAUACCAUUUCCUAAUUCAUGAUCAUGCACGAAAGCUGACCCGGAUACGCCAGACGUCACGGGAAGGAAGAGAGCUCUCUGUCCUCCUCCAUCAGCACCUCAGGGACCUCCUCACCCACAGUGACAUUGGCAGAGACUGGGGACAGGGCUUCCAAGAACAACUGGCUGAGGGAUCCAGGCUGGCAGAGCGCCUUGUCCGCAAGCUUAGCCCAGGUAAGGCGGCCAGAAGCCCUGAUUGCGCUGAGCCCCUCCAAGGUCCCUGGCUGACAAGAGCCUCGGCAUCUCCCCUCAUAAUGCUUUCACCAGCUGUCCUGGUGUCCACAUCGCACUUGGAGCCAUGACAGGACCACGACUGGCUGGGUGGGAGCAGAGGGGAGAAAUGCACAGGAGGACGUCAUAGUGCUCCAAGAGCCUGCUUCCGCCCUGAGGGACCGUGCCCUUUGGGGCAGGAGGCAGCCUCCACCUGGUGUCACAGCACACAAAGGAGGACGUGACAGGAGGCAGCUUGUUAGAGUGAAAAGAAUCCUGGACUGAGCCAGAGCUCCUUGGGCUCUUGCCUGAGCUCUGGCUAUUAUAGCUACAGGCGAGUAUUUGAUUUCUCCUUCCUGGAUUUCCGUCUCCUCAUCUGUAAAAUGGGUCAAAAGAUGUGUUGCCUGGUAGCUGUAACUACUAAAGGAGGGAAUGCUCAUGAAUGUGCUUCAGAAAGGGAUCAUACUCCUAACUGUUUGGGGUUUAUUUGGUUAUAAUCUGAAAAUCUUGGGGCAGAUACGUUGAUUUGUAACAGAACACUUUCCACAAGAAUAUUUUCCCCUCUUAUGAUAUAAAAGCCAACAUGCAGGUCCCCGUGAAGUCCCGGGAUGUAUGGAGGGGUGAGUCAUGGGGUUUUCUAUCCUCCUUUUAGAGAAAGGAGUAGGGUCUAUGUGGGGGUUCUGAGUGGACAUAGAGUCACUGAGACUGGGAACCAGCUUUGUGGAAGGAGGAGGAGAGAACUAGAGAAUUCCAGAGGGAAACUGGACAACUACCCAAUGAUUUGGGGACAGAAGAUAUUUGAUCUUUACCCAGUUAAACUCAGAGCAUGCCAUGAUGGGGAUCCAGCAGAUCAAGGACAUUCUGCCUGAUGGGUCAGGACACCAUAGCAGGCCAUUCCUUCAAAGUCACACAUGGGGCUGUCAGUGCAAUUCUCUCAGUGUGUCCUGACCUCAUACACAGGUCAUUGCUGUCCGUGCCCAGGCAGGCCUUUGUGUCUGUAGCGGGUGAAGGGG
ensembl:lncRNA